AGAGUUUGAUCAUGGCUCAGAGCGAACGCUGGCGGCGUGCCUAACACAUGCAAGUCGAACGUGAACGGGGGUAACCCCUAGUAAAGUGGCGUACGGGUGAGUAACGCGUAGGUAAUCUACCCCAGAAUCUGGAAUAACCUGCCGAAAGGCGGGCUAAUACUGGAUAGAGCGACGGAAUCCGUAAUUGGGUUUUUCGGGAAAGGGAGCCAGCAAUGGCCUUCGUUCUGGGAUGAGCCUGCGUCUCAUUAGCUAGUUGGUGGGGUAAAGGCCCACCAAGGCUUGGAUGGGUAGCUGGUCUGAGAGGAUGAUCAGCCACACUGGAACUGAAACACGGUCCAGACUCCUACGGGAGGCAGCAGUGGGGAAUCUUGCGCAAUGGACGAAAGUCUGACGCAGCCACGCCGCGUGAGUGAAGAAGGCCUUCGGGUUGUAAAGCUCUGCCGAGCGGGACGAAAAUCUUUGGUGUUAACAGCGCCAGAGACUGACGGUACCGCUAAAGGAAGCACCGGCUAACUUCGUGCCAGCAGCCGCGGUAAUACGAGGGGUGCAAGCGUUGCUCGGAAUUAUUGGGCGUAAAGGGUAGGUAGGUGGUCUCAUUUGUCUGGGGUGAAAGCCUUGAGCUUAACUCAAGAAGUGCCCCAGAAACGGUGAGACUGGAGUCCUGGAGAGGGUCGUGGAAUUCCCGGUGUAGCGGUGAAAUGCGUAGAGAUCGGGAGGAACACCAGAGGCGAAAGCGGCGACCUGGACAGGCACUGACACUCAACUACGAAAGCGUGGGGAGCAAACAGGAUUAGAUACCCUGGUAGUCCACGCUGUAAACGAUGGGUACUAGGUUUGGCGGGUCUUGACCCCUGCUGAACGGCGCUACGCACUAGUACCCCGCCUGGGAGUACGGUCGCAGACUAAACUCAAAGAUUGACGGGGCCCGCACAAGCGGUGGAUCAUGGUGGUUAAUUCGAAGCAACCGCG
rnacentral:rRNA from 1 species